rnacentral:rRNA from 1 species
GAUGAACGCUGACAGAAUGCUUAACACAUGCAAGUCAACUUGAACUUCGGUUUGGGUGGCGGACGGGUGAGUAACGCGUAAAGAACUUGCCUCACAGUUAGGGACAACAUUUGGAAACGAAUGCUAAUACCUGAUAUUAUGAUUUUAGGGCAUCCUAGGAUUAUGAAAGCUAUAUGCGCUGUGAGAGAGCUUUGCGUCCCAUUAGCUAGUUGGAGAGGUAACAGCUCACCAAGGCGAUGAUGGGUAGCCGGCCUGAGAGGGUGAUCGGCCACAAGGGGACUGAGACACGGCCCUUACUCCUACGGGAGGCAGCAGUGGGGAAUAUUGGACAAUGGACCAAGAGUCUGAUCCAGCAAUUCUGUGUGCACGAUGAAGUUUUUCGGAAUGUAAAGUGCUUUCAGUUGGGAAGAAAAAAAUGACGGUACCAACAGAAGAAGUGACGGCUAAAUACGUGCCAGCAGCCGCGGUAAUACGUAUGUCACAAGCGUUAUCCGGAUUUAUUGGGCGUAAAGCGCGUCUAGGUGGUUAUAUAAGUCUGAUGUGAAAAUGCAGGGCUCAACUCUGUAUUGCGUUGGAAACUGUGUAACUAGAGUACUGGAGAGGUAAGCGGAACUACAAGUGUAGAGGUGAAAUUCGUAGAUAUUUGUAGGAAUGCCGAUGGGGAAGCCAGCUUACUGGACAGAUACUGACGCUGAAGCGCGAAAGCGUGGGUAGCAAACAGG